AGGAACGGGCGUAUCACACAACUCUGAUCAGCGGGCUAUAAGAGAAUUCUCCCGGGAUCUUCUGAAGAAGAUCCCCACAGAGUUAAUAAAGUGAACAUGAAGGAAGAUGGAUCUUUCUUCUCGUGACGCCCAAACUGUGAUGCCACCUUUACUAUCUGAUAAAGAGACCUGCUUUAAAUACCUCUUUCUAAUUGCUAAGGACCUUGCCAACAUAUGAGAAGGAUGCUGAGGGAAGAGCUUUUGUUCUUGAUGCUGCCAUGGAGACUGAAUUAGCCAACUCUGGAAUCGCCUCCGUCCAGGUUUCUUGUUAUAAAAGAACUGAUCUGUGGAACCUUCAGGAGAUUGAUCUCAAGAGACACAUCUGCCUUCUCGAUGGGAUUGUUGGCCUCUUGUGUUGAAAGGAUCGCAUUUCAGGAGCCAGCAGGUCAUUUCAUCUCAUCCUCUAGUAUCAUCUUACAGGCUCCUAAGCCACAUGAAAGUCACACAUGCCAGCUGAUGGCUUACAUUGGUUUUGUCAAAUGGUGGAUACUUAGUCACAGUUUGAAAUGAAAAUACACCUGGUAUGUGCCACCUUAGAAGGUUUAAUUUUUCUCAGGGGUUACAGAAAAAUAUAUGUG
rnacentral:lncRNA from 1 species